GUUGGAUAUAUAUCCUAGAAGCCAAUAUGACUGACACAUUGUCAUAAUUCUAAGAUAUAAUUUUAUAUUUAAAAUAUUGAUUUGAUCAAUAAAAAAUAAAUUUUAUUUUUAUUCAAGUGUGAUGUAUCUUUGAAUCAUCCAUGAAAUUAAUACUUACGAUACAUAUUCUCAAGAUAUUGAGAAUUAGAGGCAUAUAUAAUUAAUUUUUAAAUUUUUCUCAGUCAUAGUAUCAUCAUGAGGAUAGUGAUCAAUUUGGAU
rnacentral:lncRNA from 1 species